rnacentral:rRNA from 1 species
CAUGCAGCUGAUCAGCAUGCUGUGAUGAUGAGCUCGAUGAGUCGUAGCGACGUCCGUCGUAUGCGACUAGCUGAGCUAGCCAGCACGCUAGUCUGCAGCAGC